GAAUCUGUUUUAAUUGCUCUUGAAAACCUGAUGACAACUUGUUAUGGACCACUACCUAGUACAAAUUCUUGUGAAAAUAAUAAAACAGAUGUUUCCUCAGCUGACAUCGUUUGUAGUAAAACAGCAGAAACAGAUGUGCUUUUUAAUAAAAUGGAAUCAUCUGGAAAUAAUUAUCCAAAUGUUGAUACUUCAGCCAUUCCCUUCCAAAAUGAUGUGCAUAAUGAUGAAUCUGGAAAAAACACUGAUGAUUAUUUAAAUCACCAGAUAAGUGUUGGUGACCAUUGUGAUAGUGAUAUUAAUAGUGAAAAUUCUAGUAUUGAUAAGAAUACUAGAAAUACAUCUCAAGAAAUUUCAACAAGUGAUUUAUCAUGGGAGAGCGCCCAAAGGGAACAUAGUGAAACUUGUACUGUAGAUUCUGUUAAGCACACACAAUCAAAAAAUGGCAUUAAAGACGAUUUAGAUGAAAGCAGGGAAAAUGAGGAAGCAGGAUUUCUUGAAAAGUCUUUGGAAAUAUGUGCAGAUGAUUGGAGCAAGGGAAAUGUACUUAAAAAUUCAAUGGGAGAGAAUAUUGAACCUGUGAAAAUUUUAGGGCCUCAAAAAAGUUUAGCAUGUAAAGUAAGUAAUAAUAAUCAUCCAAGCCCUGAACAAAAGAAUCUCAGUGAAGGUCCCUGUAACAAAAAAUCAAAUGUAAUAGAUAACAAAUCUGGACAACUUACAGCUUAUGAUUUAAUUAGCAAUAAAAUAAUCAAGAAACCCAUGUCGGCGAGUACCCUUUUUGUUCAAGAUUAUCGUGCUAAAUUUCUCACAGAAAAUCCUAAGACCAGUUUAGAGGAUGCAACAGUACAAAUUGAAGAACUGUGGAAGACAUUGAGUGAAGAGGAAAAACUGAAGUAA